AUUGAACGCUGGCGGAAUGCUUUACACAUGCAAGUCGAGCGGCAGCGCGGGGUGACCUGGCGGCGAGCGGCGAACGGGUGAGUAAUACAUCGGAACGUACCCAGUUGUGAGGGAUAGCCCGGCGAAAGCCGGAUUAAUACCGCGUACGACCUGAGGGUGAAAGGGGGGGAUCGCAAGACCUCUCGCAGUUGGAGCGGCCGAUGGCGGAUUAGCUAGUUGGUGAGGUAAAGGCUCACCAAGGCGACGAUCCGUAGCGGGUCUGAGAGGACGACCCGCCACACUGGAACUGGGACACGGUCCAGACUCCUACGGGAGGCAGCAGUGGGGAAUUUUGGACAAUGGGGGCAACCCUGAUCCAGCCAUUCCGCGUGAGUGAAGAAGGCCUUCGGGUUGUAAAGCUCUUUUGGCAGGAACGAAACGGUCUUUUCUAAUACAAGAGGCUAAUGACGGUACCUGAAGAAGAAGCACCGGCUAACUACGUGCCAGCCGCCGCAGUAACAC
rnacentral:rRNA from 1 species